UAGUCCUACGGGACGCAGCAGUCGAGAAUCAUUCACAAUGGGGGCAACCCUGAUGGUGCGACGCCGCGUGGGGGAAUGAAGGUCUUCGGAUUGUAAACCCCUGUCAUGUGGGAGCAAAUUAAAAAGAUAGUACCACAAGAGGAAGAGACGGCUAACUCUGUGCCAGCAGCCGCGGUAAUACAGAGGUCUCAAGCGUUGUUCUGAAUCACUGGGCGUAACGCGUGCGUAGGCUGUUUCGUAGGCCGUGUGUGAAAGG
rnacentral:rRNA from 1 species